rnacentral:rRNA from 1 species
CUACGGGCUGCUGCAGUGAGGAAUAUUGCACAAUGGGGGGAACCCUGAUGCAGCAACGCCGCGUGGAGGAUGACGCAUUUCGGUGUGUAAACUCCUUUUAUAUGUCAAGAAAAUGACGGUAGCAUAUGAAUAAGCACCGGCUAACUCCGUGCCAGCAGCCGCGGUAAUACGGAGGGUGCAAGCGUUACUCGGAAUCACUGGGCGUAAAGGACGCGUAGGCGGGUUGGAAAGUCAGGUGUGAAAUCCUACAGCUUAACUGUAGAACUGCACUUGAAACUUCUAAUCUAGAGUAUGGGAGGGGGAGGUGGAAUUAGUGGUGUAGGGGUAAAAUCCGUAGAUAUCACUAGGAAUACCUAAAGCGAAGGCGAUCUCCUGGAACAUUACUGACGCUAAGGCGUGAAAGCGUGGGGAGCAAACAGGAUUAGAUACCCCAGUAGUC